ACUCAUGGAAGGGGAGGAAAGGGCAGAGGGUGGGGGCUUCCUUGGGAAGCUCAGGGAUGAGUCACCAAGGGCCUGGGGAGUGGAAGGUGGGUAGGAUGUGGAGACCAGUCAUGCUGGGGGCUGUAGGGCGGCGCAGAAACAAUGGAAACCAGCCAAUUCAGCAGCAAGAGGAAUCAGCUCAGACACCAGGAAGACAUCCAGAGGUCCCCUGAGAAGUGUAACCAAGCCUCUGAAGGGUUCCAUGUAAAGAAGCCCUAGUCUACAAGCUCUGUGCCUGAUGGAGACCAUCUGCUUUAUCUGAAGACUUUGAGCCGCUGAAGAGCUGGGACGCUCGAACACCAUCUUACCUGAGUCGGGGACAAGUGACUUGAAUACACACUAUUUCUUGGCAGGUCUCUGGGACAGGAUGGCCCAGGAGCUCAGCGAGAAGGAGCUACUGAAGAUGGAGGUGGAACAGCUGAAGAAGGAAGUGAAGAACCCAAGAGCUCUGAUUUCCAAGACAGGAAAGGAAAUCAAGGAUUAUGUGGAGGCUGAAGCAGGAAACGACCCUCUCCUCAAAGGCAUCCCUGAAGACAAGAAUCCCUUCAAGGAAAAAGGUGGUUGUAUGAUAAGCUGAUGGCCCUGGAGCCCCUCCCCCCGGACAUCUGUCCCUGCUCAGCCCCCCUGCUCUGCACCAGGAACCGAGCUUCCCGGGGACACCCAGGGACCCAGGGAAUCAUCCCCUUCUUUCAGCCACAGCCAUGGCAUGAGUAGACCCCUGGCCCAUGCCCUGGGAUCCACUCCCCACUCCUACCUUCGGCUCUCCUCUACUCCACCUGCUGGGUCACCACUGGCCCCACUCAGAGGACAGCUUCCCUGCCUCAGCAGCUGGCACCUUGUGUGGUGGGAUUCAAAGAGCCCCGAGACCCCAGAUGGCAAUCCUUAGAGACAUUUACUCCUCCCCGAAGCUGGGCCAUCUUUCCCUCUGCACUCUUCCUAGGACCCAGUCUCUUAUUCAGAAUAGUUUGGGUUGAGGCCCAGAGUUGGGGGCUCCUUUUGUCCCUCAUCUGCAGGUCCAAUCC
rnacentral:lncRNA from 1 species